UGCAGGGAGGUUUACUCUCCCUCGAGGUAAGCGUCGAUGCAAUGGAUAUUGAUUUUGGCUUCGGUGCAAAUUGAGUACAGACGUUUCGGCAUCAUUUUAAAAUUGUUUGGUGUCCAUGAAUUUGCCGAUGAGCUUGGCGUGCACCAGCUGCCUCAUGUAGGAUUUUGGCGCUCGUGAUCUUCCUUGCUUAGCAAACUACUAUGGUUGCUGAUCCAUCACAAUAUUGACCAUGAACUUUGUGCAUCUCUGAGGUUCUUUUGCAUGAGGAAACGGAAGGAUAUCUUCGUCCUCAGCACAUCGGUGUCUAAGGCUGCUUCCUGUGUCACUGCGCCGGCAGAGUGCAAGAACAAACAUUAAUGUAUCAGUGUAGAUAAUUGUAUCUUUCUUUUUUCAUUGAUUUAAGAUACUCACAUAUAUAUGGUUACCAAUGCUCUACCGUACCUAAUUGUUGGUUCUAAUUGGCUUCUCUAUCAGAGAGUCAAGCCACAACUUUGACAAAUCUGCUAUCAUGUUCAGUAAAAAUACCAAGAAUGAUGUUCGAAAAGCUAUGCUGCACCA